rnacentral:lncRNA from 1 species
CCAAAAGGCUUCUCAACAGCUUUUACCCCCAAGCCAGAAGACUCCUGAACAGGAGACCAACAGCUACUUGUCUGGAAUGGAGGAAAAGAAAUGAUGGAAGCUUAAAGUCAUCAGGAACAGCAUUUAUUAGACAGGUUGUAAGGCUUUGGAGGAGUCGCCUGAGGAUGGGAGUUGACGGAAUACAACAUUACGUGAAUAUGUUGCUUCAUAGCAUCUUUUUCUUAGGUCACAUUCAUCAGGCCAGUCUUCUUCCAAAUGCCUUCUUUGAGUCUCGUGAGGGUAGGCUUGUGAUGUACGAUUUAGAAAGAAGAUUUCCACAGGCAUUCCACAAUUACAAGUAUCCACCCCACCAGACUCCAUUUUCCAAUCUUCUGACUUUGGCUGUCAGGAUUUGUCGAUGUGAAGAGGAAGAGGGAAUAAAAAGCUUUCUUCUACAUUUCCUGAAUGCAUUGGACUUGCCCCCCAGAAUAAAAGGCGAAAGUAAUUACACAAACUACUACACUCUGGAGGCCUCUACCAUAGCUUUGUGCUACAACGAAACCCCUGGACUCCGCAGACCAGUGAAGUACUAUGGAGCAUCCCUGUCCUGCAGAGGGGAGAGAGAAAAGAACAUUAUGAUCAAUUGGUCAUGUCUAAAUGUGUGGCAUGACUAUGUGUCUUAUGCAGUGUUGUCAUUCAGACAUGAUGAACAGGGAAACGGUAUCAGAUUCCCUGUCACCGUAAAAUGCAGAGCAUUCUACAGGAAUCCCCAGACCAAUUGUUAUGAAGACCGAAGGCCGUGCAAAAACUGUGGGGAUCUUUUCUCUCUCUCAAACCCUGAGAUGGACAAAAAUGACUUUCCCUACGGAAACUGUGCUGAGACAGAGUGCCUCAGUAACCUUCUAUUAGGUGAUCAUGAUGUCUGCAGCAAUAUGAGUUUUGGACACUACACAAGAGAAAAGGUCAUAGAGAAACUAUACAAGACAAAUGGUCUCAGAAAUAUGGCAGAAAACGCUUUGGAACAUUUAGGUUUCGUUUCACACGGGCAUGAUUUGCCUAGAUAAAUAAAGGUUAAAUAAAAUAAAAUGUGUUUUGUGUCACAGUGGAAACUGUUUCCACAUUUCUGAUGUGACAGGAAACUACAGAAAGGGUGUGACACUGAACUUGUUUGAAUGCAGACCAUUCAGAGAAACCAUAGCUAAAACAAUGGGCAAAUACAGACAGCAUGAUGAUAGAGCU